rnacentral:rRNA from 1 species
ACACCGCCCGUCCACCAUCACGAAAGUGGAUACGUACUAGAAGUCCUAAUCCAAAACAGGCCCAAGGUAUGAUUCAUGAGUUGGGUG